AGCAGUCGCCACGGGAAUACGUAGGGUGCAAGCGUUGUUCGGAAUUACUGGGCGUAAAGCGCACGUAGGCGGCUUGGUAAGUUAGAGGUGAAAGCCUGGAGCUCAACUCCAGAAUUGCCUUUAAGACUGCCGAGCUAGCAGGUGAGAGAGGUAAGUGGAAUUCCGAGUGUAGAGGUGAAAUUCGUAGAUAUUCGGAAGAACACCAGUGGCGAAGGCGGCUUACUGGCUCAUACUGGACGCUGAGGUGCGAAAGCGUGGGGAGCAAACAGGAUUAGAUACCCCUGUAGUCCCUGUCUCUUAUAC
rnacentral:rRNA from 1 species